rnacentral:rRNA from 1 species
UUCCGGUUGAUCCUGCCGGACCUGACUGCUAUCGGAUUGAUACUAAGCCAUGCGAGUCAUUGUAGCAAUACAAGGCAUACGGCUCAGUAACGCGUAGUCAACCUAACCUAUGGACGGGAAUAACCUCGGGAAACUGAGAAUAAUGCCCGAUAGAACAUUAUGCCUGGAAUGGUUUAUGUUCCAAAUGAUUUAUCGCCGUAGGAUGGGACUGCGGCCUAUCAGUUUGUUGGUGAGGUAAUGGCCCACCAAGACUAUUACAGGUACGGGCUCUGAGAGGAGUAGCCCGGAGAUGGGUACUGAGACACGGACCCAGGCCCUAUGGGGCGCAGCAGGCGAGAAAACUUUGCAAUGUGCGAAAGCACGACAAGGUUAAUCCGAGUGGUUUCUGCUAAAGGAACCUUUUGUCAGUCCUAGAAACACUGAUGAAUAAGGGGUGGGCAAGUUCUGGUGUCAGCCGCCGCGGUAAAACCAGCACCUCAAGUGGUCAGGAUGAUUAUUGGGCCUAAAGCAUCCGUAGCCGGCUCUGUAAGUUUUCGGUUAAAUCUGUACGCUCAACGUACAGGCUGCCGGGAAUACUGCAGAGCUAGGGAGUGGGAGAGGUAGACGGUACUCGGUAGGAAGGGGUAAAAUCCUUUGAUCUAUUGA